AGUGGGGAAUCUUGCCCAAUGGGCGCAAGCCUGAGGCAGCGACGCCGCGUGCGGGAUGAAGGCCCUCGGGUUGUAAACCGCUUUCAGCAGGGACGAAGCGAAAGUGACGGUACCUGCAGAAGAAGCCCCGGCCAACUACGUGCCAGCAGCCGCGGUAAUACGUAGGGGGCGAGCGUUGUCCGGAUUCAUUGGGCGUAAAGAGCUCGUAGGCGGCUGUUCAAGUCGAACGUGAAAACUCGGGGCUCAACUCCGAGCUUGCGUUCGAUACUGGACGGCUAGAGUCUGGUAGGGGGACCUGGAAUUCCUGGUGUAGCGGUGGAAUGCGCAGAUAUCAGGAGGAACACCGGUGGCGAAGGCGGGGUCCUGGGCCAGUACUGACGCUGAGGAGCGAAAGCGUGGGGAGCAAA
rnacentral:rRNA from 1 species